UACGUAUGGUGCAAGCGUUAUCCGGAUUUACUGGGUGUAAAGGGAGCGCAGGCGGCACGGCAAGCCUGAUGUGAAAGCCCGCGGCCCAACCGCGGGACUGCAUUGGGAACUACCGGGCUGGAGUGCCGGAGAAGUAGGCGGAAUUCCUAGUGUAGCGGUGAAAUGCGUAGAUAUUAGGAGGAACACCAGUGGCGAAGGCGGCCUACUGGACGGUGACUGACGCUGAGGCUCGAAAGCGUGGGGAGCAAACAGG
rnacentral:rRNA from 1 species